rnacentral:rRNA from 1 species
GGUGAGGUAAAGGCUUACCAAGAUUAUGAUGUGUAGCUGGACUGAGAGGUUGAACAGCCACAUUGGGACUGAGACACGGCCCAAACUCCUACGGGAGGCAGCAGUAGGGAAUUUUCGGCAAUGGAGGAAACUCUGACCGAGCGACGCCGCGUGAACGAUGAAGUAUUUCGGUAUGUAAAGUUCUUUUAUUGAAGAAGAAAAAAUAGUGGAAAAACUAUCUUGACGUUAUUCAAUGAAUAAGCCCCGGCUAACUAUGUGCCAGCAGCCGCGGUAAGACAUAGGGGGCGAGCGUUAUCCGGAAUUAUUGGGCGUAAAGGGUGCGUAGGCGGUUAGAUAAGUCUAUAAUUUAAUUUCAGUGCUUAACGCUGUCUUGUUAUAGAAACUGUCUUGACUAGAGUGAGAUAGAGGCAAGCGGAAUUCCAUGUGUAGCGGUAAAAUGUGUAAAUAUAUGGAGGAACACCAGAAGCGUAGGCGGCUUGCUGGGUCUUUACUGACGCUGAGGCACGAAAGCGUGGGGAGCAAACAGGAUUAGAUACCCUGGUAGUCCACGCUGUAAACGAUGAGUACUAAGUGUCGGGGAAACUCGGUACUGAAGUUAACACAUUAAGUACUCCGCCUGAGUAGUACGUACGCAAGUAUGAAACUUAAAGGAAUUGACGGGACUCCGCACAAGCGGUGGAUCAUGUUGUUUAAUUCGAAGAUACACGAAAAACCUUACCAGGUCUUGACAUACUCUGCAAAGCUAUAGAAAUAUAGUGGAGGUUAUCAGGGAUACAGGUGGUGCAUGGUUGUCGUCAGUUCGUGUCGUGAGAUGUUAGGUUAAGUCCUAAAACGAACGCAACCCCUGUCGCUAGUUGCCAGCACGUAAUGGUGGGGACUUUAGCGAGACUGCCAAUUAAACAUUGGAGGAAGGUGGGGAUAACGUCAAAUCAUCAUGCCCUUUAUGAUCUGGGCUACAAACGUGAUACAAUGGCUAUUACAAAGAGUAGCUGAAACGCGAGUUUUUAGCCAAUCUCAAAAAGGUAGUCUCAGUACGGAUUGAAGUCUGCAA